CGGAAUACCACCAGCUGCCAGGGAGAACGAGCUUGGAGCUAGCGGCAGGGCUUAACCCGGCGAAGCUCUGAGAUGGGUUGCUGAAGGAUUCCGGGAGGCAGCUGCAACAGGGCAUCACUCACUGUCCAGGCAUAUCCGUUUCUGAGUGCAAAAGGAAGAACUUGAGCGAGCGGCAAUUGGAGUGAAAAUUGCUUUGUAGUAUCUAAAAGCAGCAUGGAUCGUGGGCAGCUGAGCUGCAACAAAUCAACAGAAAUUCAUGUGAAAAUCAUUGACCACCAUAUGCUGCUCCAGCUUCCUUCAGCUCCUAAUUCUAGGAGCUUGACAACUAAAGCAAACCACAGACAGCCACAGGCACUCACUGCCAGCCCUGACAAAAAAAAUCACAAAAGUCACCUCACAGGGAUUUUAUGGCUUUGGAUUGAACCACGAAGUAUUGGAUAUAUUUCAUACAAAAGCACUAUGGAAUGCAACUCAGUACAAGCAAGUCAUUCACAGUUUCAGAUGAUGGUGAUGAUGAUGAUGAUGAUUUUGGUCCUAGUUCCAUUAAAGGUUGAGAUUUGACUGUUCUAGAAAACAACAGCUUGUCCUGUGGAGAAUUCUGAAUACGUGCAGAUGGAAAGUUGAGGCUAAAUAUCAAAAGAAAAAGGAACUAUCUUCCUGUGAGAUAGAAAGCAGUGGUGAAGAUGGUGGAGCAGGAGGAACAAUAGCUGGACCAAAAGGCAAGACUUACAAUCCACUAGGAAGAUGUAGCCAUCAUAAGAUUUAUGUGCUGAGAAACAUAGCUAAAAAUCAUAUGAAGCAAAUCUAUUAGAAAUAUAAUUUCACAAAAUAAUAAAUUUAAAAAUUUCAGUAAACA
ensembl:lncRNA